AGGCUUCCCCAGAGUUCCAGGUCCUCAUGGUUAGGGGGGAAGCAUCUGCUCUAUAGAUCAGAUUGCCUGACAUGAACAGCCUUCCCUAACAGUUACCAGCCAGCGGUCAGAGCUGGACGCUCUGUAAAGACAGGGAUUUUGUCUCUUGUUCCCUGUUGUUGUCUGAGCCUGGAAUAGUGCUUUGUGCAUGGGAAUGAUAAACUCGAAAAUAAACAAAUGGAUAAAAUUUGCCCUCUAUCAUGGAGGAACUAACAAUCUGUGAAGAAAGACCAUCAUGGAUAUGGAUAACUGUAGACACAAAGCUUAAGUAAUAAAAUUGAGCAAGGUUUUCGGAGCCUGGUGAUGACAUGUCAAGGAUGAGAAGAGGGAUCAGCCUUCUCUUUUUUGUUGCUGAGCCUCCAUGGCUAGCGCAGAGCCUGCAUGUAGUAGAUGUUCAGUAAAUAUUUACUGAAUGAGUGAUUGCUUCAACACCGUGUGCCAGGUUCUGCUAGGUGCUUUCCAUCCAAUGUCUCAUUUAAUCUUCCCCAAACAAUGAGACCUAGCCCUCCAUUAAACAGACGAAGAAAUCA